rnacentral:rRNA from 1 species
CAGUAGCCGCGGUAAAACGAAGGGUGCAAGCGUUAAUCGGAAUUACUGGGCGUAAAGCGUGCGUAGGCGGUGAGUUAAGUCUGCUGUGAAAUCCCCGGGCUCAACCUGGGAAUGGCAGUGGAUACUGGCUCGCUAGAGUGUGUCAGAGGAUGGUGGAAUUCCCGGUGUAGCGGUGAAAUGCGUAGAGAUCGGGAGGAACAUCAGUGGCGAAGGCGGCCAUCUGGGACAACACUGACGCUGAGGCACGAGAGCGUGGGGAGCAAACAGGAUUAGAUACCCCCGUAGUCCCUGUCUCUUAUAC